rnacentral:lncRNA from 1 species
CAGCAACUUAUCUAUGAGCCAGUGGGAGGUCACUGAGUUAUUUUAGGUUGUUUAUCUGUUAUUUCGUCUUACUAAAAUAUGUUAGGUGAACUGCACCUAAUAGUAGUGCCAUGUGCUGCCGUUCGGUCCACGAGUCCCGGGUGCUGCACGCAGCAGGAUCAGGCUCUGGGCCAGGAACAGGAGCUGCACCUCCGAGGCUGGCCACUGGAUGGGGAACUUUGCUAAGCAGGUCACCGGAGCUCCAGGUGAGGGAGCAGCACCCCCCUUUGCCUGGGCUUCACUGUGGUAGAGCUGCGCUCAGGAGAAGAUCGAGGCCGGUUUGUCUCUUCACCACCCCCCCAACCCUGCAAUUCUUUGUUCACACUAGCUUCAAAUGGAGCUGAUUCUUUGCUCAUCAGCAGCAAGUAAGCAGCUCAUGACCCCAGCAGAUGUUUCUGCAUUUUAGGCUAAUGAGAAUUUACUGGAUUACUGCAGUCUUCCCUGCCUCGGAGUAAAUACCACUUUGUUGGAGAUCCGGAAACUCAUACUGAAUAUGAUAAACAAACUGCUGGCUGGACUGUGAUUGCCAGGACAUGAAAAGAGUUCCACAGCAGCAGAAGAUCUAACAGCUCUGAAAUGCACCACUGAGCCACACCAAUUAAGAGCAUUUCCAGUGAUUAUGUGAGCAUUCCUGUUCAACUCACAGAAAUUAUUUUAGGUUGUUUCUUCCGCUGCAUUUGUGUGUGGUCUGAAAAGCAAGCACAAGGGUGGAGGAUGAGGUUUGCAGAGCAGUCUCAAAGGCCUCUGAUCACUUUCUUUUAAAAUUUCUGUGAUAAUGUAUAUGCAAGACUUACUGAGUUUCCUGCUCUUUCAGGAUCUUAAAUUUCUCAGGGUAGCAAUUUGCCUCAAGACAUAACUAAUUUUUUUGUUUAUAUAGAUAAUAUGUGUUUGGAGAUGGCCUGUAAGAUAUCAGAACUUAAUUCUUUGUUUUAGUAUCUACUGCAUGUGGGGGUGGGAAACUAAACACAGUAGAGUUUUCAGGACUACUACCCAAAAAGAGAUUCUGUCUGUGACACUUCGUCCUUUCAGCAGUCAGGCUUUGUUGUGUGUUUCUUCAGAACUUUUUAGAUAGUAUUUCAGUAAGUGAAAUGGUAAACAGGUAACUAUAGGAGUGCAGCACUGAUCCCCAGCUAAACCAGGAUGAAGCUUGUGAGCCUGACUCUAGAGCAGUGUUAGCACACUUAGAAACUUCAGCAUAUUAUGGACAGGGUAGGGUAUGGUAUCUGCAUAGGCAGUGCCCAAAGCUGUUGAGAGCCCUUAACCCUUUCUUGCUAUCUUUUUGUCAUGAGAAAUUUGUCUUCACCUAACUGAGCAAAAUCAAAUUUCUC